CACUGCACAUGCGUUGACUAAGGACUGUUGAGUCAUCGCUGAUAGUGGUGUGUAGUGCCAUAUCCAUCCACAGCACAAUUAUUGGUUGCUCUUCUGCAAAUGACACUGUUCUUUUUAGGAGCACCCUCUUCUGAAAAAUGGCAGAAGUGCUGCUAAGUGCUUCAGUUGAGGUUUUACUUCAGAAGUUACUUUUUCUUGCAACAAGUGGUAAUAGCCAUUUGUGGGGUUCCAAGAAAGAAUUAGAAAAGCUAAGGAGAUGUUUAGCCAUGGCUAGAGCAGUGUUACAUGAUGCUGAUAGGCAACACAGAAAGGACCAAGCACUGAAGCUUUGGCUGAAGAAGCUUGAAGACUUGGCUUAUGAUGCUGAUAAUUUGUUGGAUGAGCUCAACUACACAACUCUCAAGAAAAGUGAGAAGAAGGUAUGUUUUGUUUUGUCACUUCCAAAUCCAAUCUCUUGUAAGAUGAGGGCCAAGAUUAGGGAGAUCAUUGUGAACCUGAAAAUGAUUAAUGAGGAAGCCAAUGACUUUGCUAUUCCAAGGGGAGUUGAGGAUGGAGUUGAUCAUCCCAAUCAUCAGGAGACUGAUUGUUUCCAUGGUGAUUCCAGCAUUGUUGGGAGGGAGGAUGAUGUUUCAAGAAUGGUUGAAUCCCUCAUUUGCCGGACCAACCAAGUAGUUGCAGUUUUCCCUAUAGUGGGCAUGGGUGGGCUAGGUAAAACUACGUUGGCUCGGUUGAUAUACAACGAUGAACAGAUAGUUAAAUAUUUUGAUGAGAGAAUAUGGGUAUGUGUAUCUGAUACUUUUGAUGUGAACAGAAUUUUUAGACGGGUUUUAGAAUCAUUAACACAGAGAAGUAUUGAUGUGCAAAGUAGGAAUGCCUUACUUCAAAUCCUUCACAAGGAACUAGGUGGGAGAAAAUACUUACUCGUUCUCGAUGAUGUUUGGAACGAAAAGCUUGAGGAGUGGGAUGAUUUCAAAAGGUCCUUGGUUGGCAUCAAUGCGACGAAGGGAAAUAGCAUUAUUGUGACUACUCGAAGUGAACGAGUGGCGUCCAUAGUAGCAACACAUCAUCUUCAUUUCUUGGAGAAAUUAUCGGAAGAUGACUGCUGGUCUGUGUUCAAAGAAAGAGCAUUUCCAGAAGGAGAUGUGCCAGUGGAAUUGCUACCAAUCGGUAGAAAAAUUGUGCACAAGUGUAGUGGUUUGCCUUUAGCAGCUAACUUGCUUGGAGGAAUGUUGCGUCUCACGAAAGAAGCCAGUGAGUGGUCAUCAGUUUUGAGAAAUGGUCUCUGGAACUUAAACGGAGAUGAAAAUGCGGUCUUGCAAGUACUGAAGCUGAGUUUUGUUCAUUUGCCAUCAACAUCUGUUAAGAAGUGUUUCGCAUAUUGUUCAAUUUUCAGUCGGGAUCAUGACAUUGAAAAGGAUCAAAUGGUUCAAUUAUGGAUGGCCGAAGGAUUUCUCCAACCGAGCCAAGGAGAUCAUUUGAAAAUGGAAAGCUUGGGAAAUGAGUUUUUCAACAUCUUGUUGCAAAAUUCUCUAUUGCAGGAUGUGAAAAGAGAUGACUAUGGUAACAUUACCCAUUGUAAGAUGCACAACCUUGUUCAUGCUCUUGCACAAUCAAUUUCGAGAUAUGAAGGAUUUAAUGUAGGGUCCAGUGCAGGAGAUGGCCAUCCACAUGUUCGGUAUCUUUCAAUGGAGUCUUUAAAGGAAUCAAUGCCUUCAGUUGUUAAGGAAAAAGCAAGAUCUUUACGCACCUUGUUUUUAGCAGAUAAUGUUUCCGGGAGCAUAUUAUCAAACUUUAAGUAUUUACGUGUAUUAAGUUUCCAUGGUGUUGACAUUGUUGAGGUACCCUCAUCAAUCAGCAAGCUAAUACAUUUAAGAUAUCUUGAUCUAUCAGGCACCAAAAUUCGAACUUUGCCAGAUUCAAUUUGCAUGCUUUUUAAUCUACAGACUUUGAGACUAAAUGGAUGUGAUUUUCUUGAAGGGAUUCCGACUCAGUUGAGCAAGUUGAAUAACUUGAGACACCUUUACUAUUAUUCGUUCGAUGAAACUUGUGCAAUGCCAUUCAAGAUGGGACAGUUAACUUGUUUGCAAACAUUGCAGUUCUUCAAUGUUGAUUAUGCUGGUGGUCAUCAAAUUUCAGAGAUUGGAUUUUUGAAGGAACUUGGAGGGGAGCUGGAAAUAAGAAAUCUUGAGAAAGUAAAUAAUCAGCAAGAAGCUCGAAGUGCAGAUCUGUCUAGGAAGGAAAAUGUUCAUAAGUUAAUAUUUGAAUGGAGCAGCGGGAGGCGAGGCCCAAUCAAUGAUGAUUUUGUCUUGGCAGGCCUUGAACCUCAUCCAAAUUUGAAGAGCUUGAUGGUCAAGAACUUCAUGGGUGCCAAGUUACCAACAUGGAUUAUGACAAUGAUGGUCAGUACUGUUGAGGGAAACUUAUUGGGAUUAGAUAAUCUGGUGGAGAUCAAAUUAAAAGGCUGUAGAAAGUGUGAAGAACUACCGAUGCUUGGGCACCUACCGCAUCUCAAAUAUCUAGACCUCACUGGACUGGAUAAUUUGAAAAGCAUUAAUCGUUCUUUUUAUGGUGAUGAUUUUCUCAGAUCAAGAACCUAUGAAGGUGAUAAUGCAAAUAUAGCAUUAUUCAGAGCACUAAAAAGACUCAUUUUCUGUGACAUGCCCAACUUAGUUGAGUGGAUUGGACCAGAAGAGGUGACAACACAGAAGGAACAUGUGAAGGUGUUCCCUCACUUGGAGGAAAUAGAGAUACAGAACUGUUCACAAUUAACUACCACGCCUUGUUCUUUCCCCGGACUGGAGGAAUUCAGGAUUUCAAAUGUUAGCAGUUACCAGCCCUUGGAAAAUAUAUGCAGCAGUAGCAGUAACUCAUCAAGUCUUACAUUCCUACAAAUCGAUGGAUUGCUGGAGCUUGCUUGCCUUCCAGACAAUCUUCUUAACAAUAUAAAGAAUCUAGUAUAUCUGGCUAUACAUAAAUGUCCCAAUCUAGUGCAUGUUGUUCCACGUGUGAGGGGUUUUGGCUCCUUUCUUCGCGUGUUAGAUAUCAAAGAGUGCACAAACCUCAGCAUAUUGCCUGAUGAUCUACAAACUCUUCAAUCUCUUGCAAUGCUUUGGAUAUCUAGAUGUCCAAAAAUUACAUCAAUUCCAAGCUUGGAAGGCCUGAAGACCCUUGAAGAGCUGAAGAUCAGUUACUGUAACGAGUUGGCUUCUCUGCCAAAUGAAAUGCUACUGUCCUGCAUGUCUCUCAAGUCUUUGAGCGUAGAAAACUGUGCUAAUUUGACCUCUUUUCCGGACUUGCAACAGUUGAAUUCCCUUUUAUCAUUGAGAAUUGUUGAUUGCCCCCAGCUGACUCGUCUCCCCAAAGGGCUUCAUUCUCUUUCUUGCUUAAACUACUUAAGGAUUGGUCCAUUUUCAGAGGAUCUCACUUCAUUCCCGAUUCUUGAUUAUGAUGACACUCCUAGCAGUGAGAUACAUGAGGAAAACUUUCAACUUUUCUCUCUUAGAUGUUUAACACUAUUUGGGCAACCUCAUUGGGACUCGUUGCCUGCAUGGCUUCAAAAUCUUACUUCUUUAGCUGAACUGCAUCUUUAUGAUUUUGGAUUUGAAGCUGUGCCUGAAUGGAUAAAAAGCAUGUCUUCCCUAGAGCGAUUGGGCCUAUACUUGUGUGAAAAGCUAAGUUUUCUUCCCUCCGUUGAAGCCACAAAAUGCCUUGUGAAACUAAGGGAAGUGGAGAUUUACAAUUGCCCCUUAUUGAGUGAAAGAUGCUCUUCUUUGAGUGGUUCUAAUUCUGAAUGGUUCAAGAUUUCUCAUAUAAACCAAAUCAAAGUCGACGGCAAACAAAUCACGCCUGAGCCUUCUUAUGAAGUGUUACCAUCUCCAACUCUCACAAAAAAGAAAAGACCGAAAUCUAAAGAGGAAGAAAUGAGGUGAAGAACAACGACUAGUGUGGGGGAGCGAUCAAAGCCGAGAGAAAAAUGAGGAAAUCUAUGCCUAAUGGGGUGGAAGUUGUGACUGGAUCAAUUAUGGGGCCUAUGGUGAGGUCCCAAGCUGGCAAAAAAUACUUGACCGUGGUCCCUGGAGAAGUACUCUUGGCUUCACUUGAUGCUGUCAUUGGCAUCUUAUUUGGACUUCAGGCAUCAACAAGAAAAUGGUAGGUUCCCAUUAUCAGGCUGAAGAAACAAAAGAUGUGUCUCUCUAAUGACUUAUUGGUAAUGAAACUGAUUUGAAUCCAAAUAACUGGCAAUAGAUGCAAUAAGAAGCGCCGAAUUGCAUCUGACUUGAAGGCACAGCAUGUUCUUCCAGCAUGAUACUGGAAAUUAUUGUAGCCUUCCUCCUUGUGUAUUUGUAUAUAAGUUAGCUUUCAAGAGACUGGAUAUAAGCAGUGAUCUGUGAAUGCCAUCCCCUUUUUAGACGGCUUUCAAACAUCACAUGCUUUCAGUUGGAUGAAUGAAGGCUUUCUAGAAAGAACAUGGAUGAAAUUGUGCUCACUGGCCCUACUGCUAGCUUUCAAUUGGAUUACUUCGUUUUACAUUUGCAUUCAUCUCAUCCUUCUGGUUUGAAUAACAUUUGUUAGCGCCUGAACUACUAGUGCAAAAGCAUUGUUGUCUUCUGCUUGAUUUGAGCAAAAACAUAAUUGCUAUUUUUAAA